AAAAAAAAAAGAAUUUAACAAAGAGUAUCAUUUUACGAAAAAGAUCAUAUCACUAUGAAAAACAUUGAACAGCGCGAAAUUCAAAUCUGGGAGAAACGAGACCGAUAACUAGCCUCAGAAUUCAAUAACUUGUCCCAAUUUUUUUAACCGAUUAAGCAACAUAUCACCACGUUUUAUCGUAUUUUGAUAAACCAAUCCUCGAUCGCAGCUAGCAUCAGGCGGUUGUCCUCUGUCACAACCGGAUGCGCUAACGUAACACCAAAUUCGAUAGCCAUACGAUUUAAACUGAGCGUACGAUAUGCCUGUAAAAGUUGCGAAUACGCUUUUAUACGCAUCUCUCGAACGUAAUACUGAUAAUGUGGACGAAGAAGAGGAUCAAAUUUCAUUUCCAUUUCGAUCCAUGCGAGAUGUUGAAAGAAAUCAGCGAUACCAUUAUUAUUGAAUCGUUUAUCAAGGUCUGAUCUUGAUAAAGAGAUCAUACCAGCCAGGACAGUAUAUUGUACGAUAUCCUUGAAUGGUAACAAUUCGUACGAUUCGAAGGUAGGAAUGCAGUCUAAUAAAAGA